CCUGUCUGAAUAUGGGGGGACCAUCCUCCAAGGCUAAAUACUCCUGACUGACCGAUAGUGAACCAGUACCGUGAGGGAAAGGCGAAAAGAACCCCGGCGAGGGGAGUGAAAAAGAACCUGAAACCGUGUACGUACAAGCAGUGGGAGCACAGAGCAAUCUGUGUGACUGCGUACCUUUUGUAUAAUGGGUCAGCGACUUAUAUUCUGUAGCAAGGUUAACCGAAUAGGGGAGCCGAAGGGAAACCGAGUCUUAACUGGGCGUUAAGUUGCAGGGUAUAGACCCGAAACCCGGUGAUCUAGCCAUGGGCAGGUUGAAGGUUGGGUAACACUAACUGGAGGACCGAACCGACUAAUGUUGAAAAAUUAGCGGAUGACUUGUGGCUGGGGGUGAAAGGCCAAUCAAACCGGGAGAUAGCUGGUUCUCCCCGAAAGCUAUUUAGGUAGCGCCUCGUGAAUUCAUCUCCGGGGGUAGAGCACUGUUUCGGCAAGGGGGUCAUCCCGACUUACCAACCCGAUGCAAACUGCGAAUACCGGAGAAUGUUAUCACGGGAGACACACGGCGGGUGCUAACGUCCGUCGUGAAGAGGGAAACAACCCAGACCGCCAGCUAAGGUCCCAAAGUCAUGGUUAAGUGGGAAACGAUGUGGGAAGGCCCAGACAGCCAGGAUGUUGGCUUAGAAGCAGCCAUCAUUUAAAGAAAGCGUAAUAGCUCACUGGUCGAGUCGGCCUGCGCGGAAGAUGUAACGGGGCUAAACCAUGCACCGAAGCUGCGGCAGCGACGCUGAUGCGUUGUUGGGUAGGGGAGCGUUCUGUAAGCCUGUGAAGGUGUGCUGUGAGGCAUGCUGGAGGUAUCAGAAGUGCGAAUGCUGACAUAAGUAACGAUAAAGCGGGUGAAAAGCCCGCUCGCCGGAAGACCAAGGGUUCCUGUCCAACGUUAAUCGGGGCAGGGUGAGUCGACCCCUAAGGCGAGGCCGAAAGGCGUAGUCGAUGGGAAACAGGUUAAUAUUCCUGUACUUGGUGUUACUGCGAAGGGGGGACGGAGAAGGCUAUGUUGGCCGGGCGACGGUUGUCCCGGUUUAAGCGUGUAGGCUGGUUUUCCAGGCAAAUCCGGAAAACUAAGGCUGAGGCGUGAUGACGAGGCACUACGGUGCUGAAGCAACAAAUGCCCUGCUUCCAGGAAAAGCCUCUAAGCAUCAGGUAACAUCAAAUCGUACCCCAAACCGACACAGGUGGUCAGGUAGAGAAUACCAAGGCGCUUGAGAGAACUCGGGUGAAGGAACUAGGCAAAAUGGUGCCGUAACUUCGGGAGAAGGCACGCUGAUAUGUAGGUGAAGUCCCUCGCGGAUGGAGCUGAAAUCAGUCGAAGAUACCAGCUGGCUGCAACUGUUUAUUAAAAACACAGCACUGUGCAAACACGAAAGUGGACGUAUACGGUGUGACGCCUGCCCGGUGCCGGAAGGUUAAUUGAUGGGGUCAGCGCAAGCGAAGCUCUUGAUCGAAGCCCCGGUAAACGGCGGCCGUAACUAUAACGGUCCUAAGGUAGCGAAAUUCCUUGUCGGGUAAGUUCCGACCUGCACGAAUGGCGUAAUGAUGGCCAGGCUGUCUCCACCCGAGACUCAGUGAAAUUGAACUCGCUGUGAAGAUGCAGUGUACCCGCGGCAAGACGGAAAGACCCCGUGAACCUUUACUAUAGCUUGACACUGAACAUUGAGCCUUGAUGUGUAGGAUAGGUGGGAGGCUUUGAAGUGUGGACGCCAGUCUGCAUGGAGCCGACCUUGAAAUACCACCCUUUAAUGUUUGAUGUUCUAACGUUGACCCGUAAUCCGGGUUGCGGACAGUGUCUGGUGGGUAGUUUGACUGGGGCGGUCUCCUCCUAAAGAGUAACGGAGGAGCACGAAGGUUGGCUAAUCCUGGUCGGACAUCAGGAGGUUAGUGCAAUGGCAUAAGCCAGCUUGACUGCGAGCGUGACGGCGCGAGCAGGUGCGAAAGCAGGUCAUAGUGAUCCGGUGGUUCUGAAUGGAAGGGCCAUCGCUCAACGGAUAAAAGGUACUCCGGGGAUAACAGGCUGAUACCGCCCAAGAGUUCAUAUCGACGGCGGUGUUUGGCACCUCGAUGUCGGCUCAUCACAUCCUGGGGCUGAAGUAGGUCCCAAGGGUAUGGCUGUUCGCCAUUUAAAGUGGUACGCGAGCUGGGUUUAGAACGUCGUGAGACAGUUCGGUCCCUAUCUGCCGUGGGCGCUGGAGAACUGAGGGGGGCUGCUCCUAGUACGAGAGGACCGGAGUGGACGCAUCACUGGUGUUCGGGUUGUCAUGCCAAUGGCACUGCCCGGUAGCUAAAUGCGGAAGAGAUAAGUGCUGAAAGCAUCUAAGCACGAAACUUGCCCCGAGAUGAGUUCUCCCUGACUCCUUGAGAGUCCUGAAGGAACGUUGAAG
rnacentral:rRNA from 1 species